UUUAGCCGGAUGAAAGGAAACUUUCACGUCCGAUUUUUAGGGGGGGGGUGGGAGAUCCUAUCCCAAU
rnacentral:ncRNA from 1 species